rnacentral:rRNA from 1 species
UACGUAGGGGGCAGGCGUUGUCCGGAAUCAUUGGGCGUAAAGCGCGUGUAGGCGGCCAGGUAAGUCCGUUCUGAAAGCCCGGGGCUCAACCCCGGGAGGCGGAUGGAUACUGCUUGGCUCGAGUCCGGAAGAGGCGAGUGGAAUUCCCGGUGUAGCGGUGAGAUGCGCAGAUAUCGGGAGGAACACCAAUGGCGAAGGCAGCUCGCUGGGACGGUACUGACGCUGAGACGCGAAAGCGUGGGGAGCAAACAGG